UCAAGUCUAGAAUUUUCAGACGAUUUUCGCUUUGGAACAUGGCCUGUUCAUUUUUGAGGAAUAACACGUCCCGUGAUCGCAGUGAGACUUUUGUCAAUUCCGGUCAAACUCGCCGUGCAAAUCGGCCGCUUAUCGCUAGGUCAGGCGAUAAGCAGGAAUGCCGACAGUAAGGAAGGACACGCGGUUAUGACCGGCGCGCAUACCGCUUCCACUUCCACUUUUCUCAUAUGGGUAUCUGUGCCAUUGGGGACACUCGGUCGUUGCAUGGACGAAGAUGGUACUAUUGCACGUGGCCGUCAGCUGAUAUGUGUCGUGCGCCUGCGGCACACGUCGUCUCGCAGCCUCCUUUCCAUUCCACCGAAACGUUUCGCAUCCAUUACAUCAGUCGGAGUCCAGCUGUCGACUGGAACGGAGGCGUUCCUCUGCCUGCUGCCAUCGCUCGUUGCCGAGCUGCCACAAGCUUCCUUUCUCUUCUUCCUGUAAAAUAUUUUCAACGUCGAAGUGGGAGCCAGCGUUUCUACAUGAUGACCAAAUAAUUAUAUUGACAUUCCGUUUUAUUAGCAUACAUUAAUUUAUCAGUGCCCGUACCAACGCCAUAGAAAUGUUCCUAAUUGUUGCUUGAUACAAGAUAGAAAGAUAAGUAGAACAAUGACUGACA